rnacentral:lncRNA from 1 species
GUAACUUCAUUGCAUAACUAUUGACUUUCGUGCUUGCAUAGGGAAUCACAAACCUUAACACCAAUAUCUAUUAUAUAAUUAAAAUAAAAGUCAAAUAAGCCAUCAUGUUCAUCCACAUAAGUUAAAAUUAUCUAAUAUGUUAGAUUGUAAUUUUAACAGCCUUGAUUUAAAAUAAACGCAUAAACGAGCAUAAGUUGUUUUGUCACGUGUACGUGCAUAGAACGGACCAACACAUCCAUGUUCCAUCACGUGUAGUGCAUAGCACAGAACAACACGUCACGCCAACUAGCAAAGAUAGUAGUCAAACCUAAUUAUAUAAGAAACCUAAACAAAUUAGGACAUCCACCUGACGUGACAUGAUGAAAGUUCGAAGACAGGAACAAAUACGUACAAGAUUUCGACAUGGUCUCGGCCACGUCAACCCAGCCACCUCCACCCAUAUAAACAAGUGCAGCCGGCCAAACAAGCACAUACCAAACAAUUGGAAAUCGACAACCACCAUGUCUUGAAACAUGCCACACGGAACACACGACUCACCGUCCACACAACUUGAAGUCGACAUAGGUAGCACGACGAAAAGUCACCUCCAACCGCUUCACUUGACGUCCGACGAAGUCACGCCAAAGCCCGCCGACAACCGACAAAGCCACACCCAGCUGCUCCAAUCGAUGUCGGAAGAAGUGAUAACAAAACACUUCUGGCCUGAAUCAUCAGACUUGGUAAUUGUUAUUUAACUAACUUUUUUUCUAGGUAGAAUCUUCAUAAAUGCUAUAUACAUUGACAAAUUGUUUCCUAUUAAUUUUGAAGACAUAAAACUAUGGCAUACGAAAAGUUGAGCGACUUAAAUACAAGGGGGCAGAAUUGGAACAUUCAAGUGAAAGUAAUGAGGAUUUGGGAUUCGGUUAAUCCUACGACCGAUGAGCUUAUUAGCCUAGAUAUGAUACUCAUGGAUGAGAAGGUGUUUUCCCAAUAUAGUCAAUUGGACUUUUCUUUCAGAUUAAGCAACAGUUACUAACCAUAAUUCAUUGCUUUUACAGGAUGAAACAAUUCAUGCUACUAUCUGGAAGAAUCUAAUAAACACUUUUAGAUCAAAGAUCAAUGAGAGGUCUAUUUAUGCAUUCAGCAAUUUUAAGGUUGCGGAAUCCACAAAAUAUAGGCCAGUCAGCAAUGAAAUUAAAAUAUUUUUUGCAUACAAUAUAAAGGUAAAGGAGAUAAAAGCAUCUUCAGAAGUUUUUCCAGACUAUUGCUUCGAGUUUGCUACCAUGGAGACAAUCGAAGAAAGGGCAGAAAAAGAUACACAAUGCUCGGGUAUGUUUAUAGUUGUAAUUAUGGCCUCCAAAUAAUUGAUAUUUCUAAUUUUAAUGUUACUAAUCUCCAAAUAUAUAGAUGUUAUUGGACUUCUAAAAAAAUGAAGCCCGUGGAGACAAGAAUAACAAAAAAGAGCCCACAACCUUCAUAUAUCCGCAAGAUUGAAAUACUAAUGCCAGAGUAAGUGCAUAUGCAUAUGCAUGUCUGAAAUUUAACUAAGCCUACCCCAUGUGGUUAGCACUAACUUCUCGGAUUAAAUUCGUUAGGGGUGAUAAACGUUGUGGGGAAAGUUUGCUUAUUUUUUGACCGAGAAUGUUAUCGGCAACCAAACUGUCAUUAGUAUUGCAUCAACGAUUCUGCAGAGAUUCAAUGGUAAGUCCAUAAAUCUUAGAUGCUAUCCUUAUCAUUUACAAAUUCUAAUUGGUUGAUUAAAUAGGUUUGUGCCUGAAGUCAACGAGUGCCAUAAGAAUAUAUAUAGAUCUGGAUAUACCAGAAACACAAGAACUUCUUGAAAGGUAUGAAACACUAGCAAUUAAAAAAUUCCCACUCAUGAAUAGUGACUCAUGUUGAUUCAAGAUUGUAUAUAUUAUUAUUUAUUUUAUAUAUGUGCAGGGACUCAACACAAGUAACCUUACCAAAAAUGAUGAGUAUAGAUAGAAGUAAUCAAGGAACACUAGAAGAACAAAUGUUUUACAGGCGGAGAACAUUGUAGGAACUUACUCAAAUGAGGCAUGGAAACAAGCAAGACUAGGUAAUUCAUCGGAUUUUCAAUAAAUGAUAUCAUCAAUAUUUGUGAUAACAAGUUAAGACCUACAUUGACAAUUCAUUUAAUAUUAGUAACAAUGGAACCAUAUUCAAUUUAUAUAUGUGACUUAAUUCUCGACCCCUACCCCAAUGCUAAUGUUGAUUGUUUUCAGGAUUUGUGUUCAGGUCAAUAGCUACAGUAGAUCGGUUGCAAGAAAAUAUUCAAUGGUGGUACAUGUCAUGUGAUAACUGUCCCAAAAUGGUUAUCGGAAAUCGACAAGUAUUAUUGCAAGAGUUGUGGUAUAUAUCCAGGAAAGGUCACACCUCGGUAAGCAUAUUAUAUUACUAAAAUAUGAACAAUAAGUGUUAUAUUAUAUUUACUCCCCACUAACAUGAAUGGUAUGUUAGUAUCGUAUUCGGCUACAAACUAGUGACCGUACAUCUACUACAAGUUGCACUUUAUUUGACGAGGAGGCUGCAAGAUUGCUUAAUACAUCUGCAUCUGACUUGCUGAACUCACUGGAUGGGAAAACAGAAGAAGCGCCAAAGAUUAUUCAACAAUUAUGUGGAAAGAAAUUAAUAUUUUGAUUCAAUCUCAGUGAUAGUGAUCUCACAUUUGGCACACAAAACUAUUCUCAAAAAAGAACAUUUGUGCCUGAUGAUAGGCUUGAGAUGCUCUACUUGAACGACAGAGCCGAGGAGGUAAAGGUUCAUUAACUUUGUUUCAAAAACAAAGUACCAUCUUUAGAAUUCCUUAACCAAUUCAUAUUACAUUUGUUGCAAAGCAAUUGAUGGGUGAUGAUGUGGACACUAUGUUAAUGAAGAAGCAGAACGUGCCAGAUAAAAAGGUGAUUGAUUUUUUGAUGAUACACACUUGAAAUUUUAGAGAUGUGUCUUAUUUGAAAAUGUAUAUGUAUGCAGUCACAGAAUGAUAAAGUUUCACCUUCCUGCAAACUGGUGCCUAUGAAAGAGGAGCCAUGUGAUGGCAGUGAAUCUACAUUAAACAAAGACAAGCAGCAAGACAAAAGAUCAUCAUUGUCAUCACUUGAGCUAUGUAGUGGCAAUAAAAGGAGACUGAGAUCUGUUGUAAUACCGUCGGAUGACUUAGAGGAUGAAUGCACGGAGACGAAUUUGCCAAAACAAAAGAAAAAAAAGGUGUCCACGAGAACAAGAAACAAUUUAAAGGCAAAGCCGAAAAUGCAGUGCCUGAAGAUGAAGAUGAAGUACAUAAAGCAAGGCCCAGAAGAACAAGGAUUCUGUCUAGAUAAUAAUUGGAUCAUUAGCUUAUGAAAUAAAUAUUAUAACAAUCUAUUUGUAUCGACCAAGAUAAGUAAGAGUAGUUGACAUCAACCAGGAUAACAAGGAUACUUAUUAUAUUAAGGGGGUGGAUAAUAGCAAUAUUCUUAGUCUAAAACAGAUUGAAAACUGUCUUCAUGUAAUUUCGUUUAUAUACAUGCUAUUGUAUCAAAAUCAGUACGAGGAUAGCACAAUAGAUAGGUACAUACUACAAGACCAAAGAUUGACGCAUUAGGAUUCAGUUCACAAUUUGAAGAAACUAUACUUUGGCAAAUCAAUAUGGGGCCAACACAAUAGACAGGACUAUACCUUGCUUCAGUAACUUCAUAGAACAACCGGGUAUUGUACGUAACGCUAGCUUUGCCCGGUGGCACCAUUCUGACCAAAAACAAAGUUCCCACAUUUAGACUUAGCAUCAAAGCAAAAUAUAAUAUCUAAUCACAUUAAUUUCUUAGUUCACUAAAAUUUGUUGGCAACUGGAAGAUUGUUUCUCAGUUACUUGAUAGGGUGACUACAAGUUACUUGAAGAAAAUUCAAUAUGUAAGCUUCUGCUCAACAAACCUAUACCCAAAUUACUAUCCAAGGUGACAUAUUAACACACAGAAGGUGAUCUAAUUACCAAUAGCAGAAUAAUCCAUCAAACUAAUUUGAAACAGGUUUUUUCAAAACUAAAGUAUCAAUAAAAUAUUGACAGAUAAUAGCCAACUUCCAGUUCAUAAAGCCUUUUUCAUGAAUAUAUUAUUCCUUGCUAAGAGCAAAUUAAAAUACUAUGUAUUACAACACUGGUACAAACAAAAUAGAAGAAAUAAUCUUCAUUACAUAGGAUGCAUAUCAUCAGUUGGCACUUACAUGCAAUGAGAAGGCCAGCAUCUCAUGGUCGUGUGCUACUAUUUGUAUUCCACGAUCUACUUAUACUAAUGUUUCACCAUUGUCACUAUAAUACAUAUGAGGACAAUAUCAGCAAACCCAAACUCCAUCCCAUACCUCGGACGUCAGAUCCAACAAUUCAUCAUCAGCAGGCAACUUGGCAAGUUCCCACCAAUUGGUUCGCACACAGCCUCCUCCAUGGGGCCAAACUACAGCAACUCUGCCAUGGCUCUCUAGCCGCCGACCAUGAAGAGCUUGAGUAGUGCAGCCCCUGUGUUUUCCCUGCAACUACCCAUGGCCAAUCCACCGGACUUGACGAGGUCUUCAAGGAUCCACAUCCUUGAGAACAAGACCAACGCGUCCGCGCACUCCGCGCAACCACCAACUGCGCUAGUAACUGAAGAGAUUCAAAGAAAUGAAUGGAGGAGCGAAGAUGGAUUGGGAAUCAGUUCUGUGAUGGCAAGUACCGAAAUCUUCAUCAGCCGGCUAAUCGGAAGAGGUGGUGCAUGCGGAUGGAUAAGGAUG